rnacentral:rRNA from 1 species
UACGAAGGGGGCUAGCGUUGCUCGGAAUUACUGGGCGUAAAGCGCACGUAGGCGGUCUUUUAAGUCGGUGGUGAAAUCCUGGAGCUCAACUCCAGAACUGCCUUCGAUACUGGAAGACUUGAGUCCGGGAGAGGUGGAGUGGGAACUGCGAGUGUAGAGGUGAAAUUCGUAAGAUAUUCGCAAGAACACCAGUGGCGAAGGCGGACUCGCUGGCCCGGUACUGACGCUGAGGUGCGGAAAGCGAGGG